ACUGGAUGAUGGACGAGGUCGCGUUGGCGACGAUCGGCGGCAGCCCGCCAAGCGUCAUCGCUCCGAAAGUCAGGAAGGUGCCGCCACCGGCAAUGGCAUUGACGACGCCGGACAGGAAGCCGGCGACGAAGAGCAAAAAGACCUGGAGCAACGUCAUGGCUUUCCCCCGAAACACGUGAAUCGGGAUAGCCGGUGGCGCGGUCGACCGCAAGUCCGU
rnacentral:sRNA from 1 species